rnacentral:rRNA from 1 species
AAUGAACGCUGGCGGCAUGCCUAAUACAUGCAAGUCGAACGGAAGCACAGUAAGAGUUUGCUCUUACUGUUGGCGACUGGCGGACGGGUGACGAAUACAUCGGCAUCUUCUUUUUCUUGGGGGAUAACGGAGGACAACAUACACUAAUACCUCAUACGAUGUACCGGUGAAUGCAGAGGAGCUUCGCACCCUUCGUGUCUCAAAUAGCCGAUGCCGAACUAGCUAGUUGGCAGGGUAAAGGCCCACCAAGGCAAGGAUACGUUGCAGAUCUGAGAGGAUGAUCGGCCACACUGGAACUGAGACACGGUCCAGACUCCUACGGGAGGCAGCAGUGGGGAAUAUUAGGCAAUGGGCGAAAGCCUGACGCAGCCAGGCCGCGUGAGUGAAGAAGGUCUUCGGGUCGUAAAGCCCUUUUAUUGGGGAAGAAAAGAUGUAGAAUUAUACGAGGCUGUCUUGACGGUACCCAAUGAAUAAGCACCGGCUAACUACGUG